rnacentral:rRNA from 1 species
UACGUAGGUGGCAAGCGUUGUCCGGAUUUACUGGGCGUAAAGAGCGCGCAGGCGGUCGUCCAAGUCGCGUGUGAAAGCCCCCGGCUCAACUGGGGAGGGUCACGCGAUACUGGUCGACUCGAAGGCAGGAGAGGGUAGUGGGAUUCCCGGUGUAGUGGUGAAAUGCGUAGAUAUCGGGAGGAACACCAGUGGCGAAGGCGACUACCUGGCCUGUUCUUGACGCUGAGGCGCGAAAGCUAGGGGAGCAAACGGG